UACCGUAAACCGAUGUGACUUGGAUGUCCUUCACACGAUUCCUAAAAAACUCGACUCAAUUAUAAAACUUGGCAAAGACAAACUUGAAAACAUGAAGGAAACAGGUGUAGUUUAUAAAAUUGACUGUAACGACUGUAAUGUGUUCUAUAUAGGUCAAACAUUAAGAUACCUGAAAACUCGUGUGAAGGAGCAUCGCAGUGACAUUAAAAAAAUGAGAGCAAGUUUUCCGUAGUCAGCAAGCACCGAUUGACGCACGGGCAUGAUUUUAAAUGGUCCACCGCUGAGGUUUUGCAUAGGGAGAGAAAUGUGAGGAAGAGAGAGUUAGCGGAGAUGUUCUAUAUUAAAAAACAUAACAAUACGAUAAAUCUCAAAAAAGACACUGAAAAUCUUAAUCCGUUAUAUGACUGAAUUAUAAGAGCUACAUAACAUUUCUCUCUCCGUGCGUAUGUUUUUCUUCCUGUGACCCACUCGUGUAUUCAUUAUUUUCAAAGUAGUCGGACGCCGUCCUUUGACUCGGAACGACUGCUCCUGCAUGUCUCCGUUCUGGUUAUUUCUUAAUCCGGUUCUACAUCGCACUAUUAAUUGAGGAUGGAUCGCGGCUCCUUUAGAUUAAUAUUUAUAUUCUUGAAAUUUGACAAAGUGCUAAAACUGCAAUGAAAUUACGUGCGGCUAAUCUCUAUGAGAUAGUACUCUUGAUAAGGACACAAAACGAGUGUCGAAACGUUGAGGAAUGAACUAAAAAGUUGCCAUAUAGCAUCAUAUAGCAUCACAGGUUUGCGCGAUUUUGUUCAGACACGCUUUGCUAUCUGGUUUCAGUAUGUUUUUUGCCAUUCGAGUAAUAACUUGUAUAUUUCAGAUUCUAUGGAAAAAUGAAGUUCAGCUGCGUGAUAUUUAUUUGUCCAUUGGUCAUAGCAUCAGUCAUGGCAAUGGUGCAAUUUGUCCAGUAAAAUUAGGUUUGAAAAUGGCAAAACGGAUUGACAAGCCAAUUUUUUGAGGGUGAGUAGAGGGUCAUAGGAGAUGCCCAAAUUCACAAAAUUCCAACAAAAUUUCCCUGUGCGUCGGCGGCCAUCUUGAAAAUAGGGAAGCUAUAAAAUUAUACAAAACUUUUUUUGAUGGAAGUCUUGAUUCACGAGAAAUCUCAAUGCAAAAGUUAAAAUGGGACCCUAUAUAUAGGGUAACUCUGGUAUUUACGCCGCGCAGGAAUUUACGCCGUAGACGUUAGAAAAAAUGGAAGGAAUGAAGGUAUUUAUUCGCAAUUAUUCUCUUAUGUGUCUUUAUGCCAUAUUAGUA